ACAAGUACCGUGAGGGAAAGUUGCAAAGCACUUUGAAGAGAGAGUUAAAGAGGACGUGAAACCGGUAGGAUGGAAACGGAUAGAGCCAGCGAAGUCGCUCGUAUUCAGCCAAAGGCCUGGGGCAUCGGUGUGUCGGGUUGCUAAUCCCGCCUGGCUCGCCUUUCGCCCCUGGUUGAGGUGCAUUUGCGGGUGUUUGCGCUGAGACUUGCGGGCCAGCUUCUGGACCCGGGCCUAGAGGCCGUCCUCUGGGCGGAACUUGGGCACGGCGACGGUUGUUUGACCUGCUCGUACCACGGCUUGGCCUACGGACCGGGGCGCUGUCGUUGCUUCCGAGCGUUGGCAUCGCAUGCGAUGACUCGUUCGGGGGUUGCGGCUGUGUUUCGCGUUCCCAAGUCGGCUCUCGGUGUAAAAGCUGGUCACCUAUCCGACCCGUCUUGAAACACGGACCAAGGAGUUUAGCGUAUACGCGAGCCAUUGGGUGUCAAAACUCACAGGCACAAUGAAAGUAAAGGCCCAGUCGCUGGGCUGACAUGCGAGUUGGUGGGCUCCGGCCUGCCGAUGCAGCAUGGUCCCGUUCCAGUCGCUUGCGACGGAGCGGAGACAGAGCGUAUGCGCUGAGACCCGAAAGAUGGUGAACUAUUCCUGAGCAGGAUGAAGCCAGAGGAAACUCUGGUGGAAGUCCGAAGCGGUUCUGACGUGCAAAUCGAUCGUCUGA
rnacentral:rRNA from 1 species